rnacentral:rRNA from 1 species
CGGGGUGGACGGACCUCUGGUGUGCGAGCUGUUCCGCCAGGAGCAUCGCUCGGUAGCUAUGUCCGGCAGGGAUAAGCGCUGAAGGCAUCUAAGCGCGAAACCCGCCUGAAGAUGAGACCUCCCAGGGCGUAAGCCCUCUGAAGGGCCCUCGCAGAUUACGAGGUUGAUAGGCCGGAGGUGUAAGCGCCGUGAGGCGUUCAGCUGACCGGUACUAAUCGCCCGUGCGGCUUGACCAC